rnacentral:rRNA from 1 species
UACGUAGGUGGCAAGCGUUGUCCGGAUUUACUGGGCGUAAAGAGCGCGCAGGCGGUCGUUCAAGUCGAGUGUGAAAGCCCCCGGCUCAACUGGGGAGGGUCACUCGAUACUGAUCGACUCGAAGGCAGAAGAGGGAAGCGGAAUUCCCGGUGUAGUGGUGAAAUGCGUAGAUAUCGGGAGGAACACCAGUGGCGAAGGCGGCAUCCUGGACCGACAUUGACGCUGAAUACCGAAAGCUAGGGGAGCAAACGGG